GAUGAACGCUGGCGGCGUGCCUAAUACAUGCAAGUCGAGCGAACAGACGAGGAGCUUGCUCCUCUGACGUUAGCGGCGGACGGGUGAGUAACACGUGGAUAACCUACCUAUAAGACUGGGAUAACUUCGGGAAACCGGAGAUAAUACCGCAUAAUAUAUUGAACCGCAUGGAUCAAUAGUGAAAGACGGUUUUGCUGUCACGUAUAGAUGGAUCCGCGCCGCAUUAGCUAGUUGGUAAGGUAACGGCUUACCAAGGCGACGAUGCGUAGCCGACAUGAGAGGGUGUUCGGCCACACUGGAACUGCAGCACGGUCCAGACUCCUACGGGAGGCAGCAGUAGGGAAUCUUCCGCAAUGGGCGAAAGCUUGACGGAGCAACGCCGCGUGAGUGAUGAAGGUCUUCGGAUCGUAAUACUCUGUUAUUAGGGAAGAACAAAUGUGUAAGUAACUAUGCACGUCUUGACGGUACCUAAUCAGAGUGCCACGGCUAACUACGUG
rnacentral:rRNA from 1 species